GAUGAACGCUAGCGGCAGGCCUAAUACAUGCAAGCCGAACGGCAAGGUUGAUAGCAAUAUUUGACCUAGAGUGGCGCAAGGGUGCGUAACACGUAUGCAACCUGCCCGCGACAGGAGGAUAGCUCCCCGAAAGGGGAACUAACCCUCCAUAACACCAUGAGAAGGCAUCUGAUUAUGGUUAAACCGCAAGGGGUCGCGGAUGGGCAUGCGGUUGAUUAGCUAGUUGGCGGGGUACAGGCCCACCAAGGCGGUGAUCAAUAGGGGUUCUGAGAGGAAGGUCCCCCACACUGGCACUGAGAUACGGGCCAGACUCCUACGGGAGGCAGCAGUAGGGAAUAUUGGACAAUGGUUGCAGGACUGAUCCAGCCAUGCCGCGUGCAGGAAGAAGGCCUUCUGGGUCGUAAACUGCCUUUUCCUGUGGAUAAAAUACCCGUGCGCGGGGAAUUGAAGGUAACAGGUGAAUAAGCCACGGCUAACUACGUG
rnacentral:rRNA from 1 species